UCUCUCUAUCUCUGCGAUCUAGGGUUUCAUGAGCACCAGAUCCGUUUGAAUCUAUCACCAGAUCCGUUUGAUGAGCAGAUCUAGGGUUUCACACAACCCCGCUUCGAAUCUAGAGAGAGAAAGAGACGCAUCUCCAUCGCUUCGCUCUUGCUUGUUUAUUUGCCUUGCCCUCUGAUUAUGAUGACUGUGGCGGUUCUGAUGAAUCGAUAGAGAUGAAGAUGGUGAGGUUGUGGUAGCAGGUAAGUGAUUAUGAUUAUCUGACCUUGGUGGUGUUUUCCAUACUAUACAGAAAACCCUAGCUGUCGCCUCCGGCGAUGCCGGCUAGGGUUACUCCGAUGAAGCUCCGAAAUUUUAGAGUGAGACGGAUAGGUUUCAAUUGGUGAUCUCCGGUUGGAUAUUCUUCAAGACAGAGCAUUUGUCUCUACUGCAUGACGCUUAAUGGCGAGACAUAUGAGAGCCCUAAGUACUACACGACGCUCCAGCAGGCGGAGCAUUUAGCGACUGAGGUGGCUCUGGAUGCACUUGCGAAUCGUGGUCUGUCGAAUACAUUGGCUACUCGGAUAUUGUGACAAAUUUGCGUUUCCUUGAAUCACCAGCUGUAGUUGGUUUAUUCAUAUUCAAACACUUCAUCAGAUUUGUACAUUGUUGGUGAUGCAAAAGCUGGUAAAAGCCCCACAAUUUUGGCAAAAGGUUCACCUUUUCUAUUAGGCUGCAUAGAGUUUUGUUCUUUAAGUUUAAAGUUUGUUCAUUUAUACUUGUUUUUUAUGUAGUGGAACAUUGUUUGUAUUUCUUGUCAAUUUUUUCGAGAGAUAUCCUAUAUAUAAGCAAAAAGAUUUGUACAUUGCUGGAGAAAAUUACCCAGGGUCACUACCACAUGCCUGAGACCAGAUGGCUCUUUCUUUCUUCCUGAGGCACAAAUUUUCAGCACAGCUGAAUGGGGACCACUUCGUCAUGUCCGUGUUAUCAUGGAGUGAAAUUUCGGUGUUUCCGGUGGAUUCGCAUUUAUAGAUUUCCCGACCACGGGGUCUGCACGCUCGAUGAUGGAUAAAGUUGGAGAUGAGGGUCUUCUUGUUGAUGGUAGGAAGCUAUUUUUUGAGUAUAGGAAGGAAAAAUAUUGUAUGGUCCCAUGAUUUACAAAAACAAGUACCAUUUGUAGGGAGUUCAGAAAGGACUACAACACAAAGCUAUCAGAUUUCGGGCUAGCCAAGGAUGGACCGAUCGGUGAUAAGAGCCAUGUCUCGACUAGAGUCAUGGGGACGUACGGAUACACGACUCCAGAGAGUCUAGCCACCGGUAGGUUCAUGUUGUAGUCCGUUCGUUUUAAAAGUGUAUGGACGUGUCUGCUGAAUUCGGUUCGGUUUUAAAACCGGUUUUAACUGGUUUUUUAAAUCAGUUCGGUUUUUGAAGGGGUACAAAUGUCGCCAAGAAGAACCGUGCUAUAACCACCAGAUCUGGUUGAGCUCGAACCGGUGUUCAAAACAUUGGUUUCAAUAUUUUUUUCCGGUUUCGAUCCUAAAACCAGUUUUUUUGUACAUGUCUGGCAACAAGACCGCGCACAUCUUCUGUCGCCUUCAUCUUUAUCUUCCUGUCAUCCACUGUUCCGGAGACUUUCCAUUCGACGGCAACCAUUUUUUAGGAAAUGGGAAGAUGUUGACUGGGGAGUUAAAGGUAGGUUGUGUUCAGGAGUGGAACGACAUUGGGCCACAGGAAUCUGUGCAUGACAAGUGUAACUUUAUUCAUGCCAAUAUGGAAGCCCCAAGGAAAAAAUACAAUUAAAUAAAAGUAAAGAAUUGUAAUUGCAGUGUAUACUCUUUGCAAAAAUUGGGCGAAUGUUGUGGAUACAUUUUAGUCCAAUAUGUAUAGCUAAAUAUUGUUUUUAAAUGUUGACUCACCUGAACUGA